GGAAAAGAAAUCAACCGAGAUUCCCCCAGUAGCGGCGAGCGAACGGGGAGCAGCCCAGAGCCUGAAUCAGUGUGUGUGUUAGUGGAAGCGUCUGGAAAGGCGCGCGAUACAGGGUGACAGCCCCGUACACAAAAAUGCACAUGCUGUGAGCUCGAUGAGUAGGGCGGGACACGUGGUAUCCUGUCUGAAUAUGGGGGGACCAUCCUCCAAGGCUAAAUACUCCUGACUGACCGAUAGUGAACCAGUACCGUGAGGGAAAGGCGAAAAGAACCCCGGCGAGGGGAGUGAAAAAGAACCUGAAACCGUGUACGUACAAGCAGUGGGAGCACAGAGCAAUCUGUGUGACUGCGUACCUUUUGUAUAAUGGGUCAGCGACUUAUAUUCUGUAGCAAGGUUAACCGAAUAGGGGAGCCGAAGGGAAACCGAGUCUUAACUGGGCGUUAAGUUGCAGGGUAUAGACCCGAAACCCGGUGAUCUAGCCAUGGGCAGGUUGAAGGUUGGGUAACACUAACUGGAGGACCGAACCGACUAAUGUUGAAAAAUUAGCGGAUGACUUGUGGCUGGGGGUGAAAGGCCAAUCAAACCGGGAGAUAGCUGGUUCUCCCCGAAAGCUAUUUAGGUAGCGCCUCGUGAAUUCAUCUCCGGGGGUAGAGCACUGUUUCGGCAAGGGGGUCAUCCCGACUUACCAACCCGAUGCAAACUGCGAAUACCGGAGAAUGUUAUCACGGGAGACACACGGCGGGUGCUAACGUCCGUCGUGAAGAGGGAAACAACCCAG
rnacentral:rRNA from 1 species